GGUGCCGGGACGGGACGGUAACGUGGCGGAUUGCAAAUCCGAUGCCUCGCAAGAGACCGAGUUCAACUCUCGGCGGCACCU
rnacentral:tRNA from 1 species